rnacentral:rRNA from 1 species
CCUACGGGUGGCAGCAGUUAGGAAUUUUGCGCAAUGGGGGAAACCCUGACGCAGCAACGCCGCGUGAAGGAUGAAGGCCUUCGGGUUGUAAACUUCUUUCGACAGGGAAAAAACAAAUGAUGGUACCUGGAGAAGAAGCACCGGCUAACUACGUGCCAGCAGCCGCGGUAAUACGUAGGGUGCAAGCGUUACUCGGAUUUAUUGGGCGUAAAGCGCAUGUAGGCGGUUUUGUAAGUCUGAUGUGAAAUCCCUGGACUCAAUUCAGGAACUGCAUUGGAUACUGCAAGGCUAGAGUAUGAGAGAGGUAGGCGGAAUUCUUGGUGUAGAGGUGAAAUUCGUAGAUAUCAAGAGGAACAACAGAAGCGAAGGCGGCUUACUGGAUCAUAACUGACGCUGAGAUGCGACAGUGUGGGGAGCAAACAGGAUUAGAUACCCUAGUA